AACGAACGCUGGCGGCAUGCCUAACACAUGCAAGUCGAACGAGACCUUCGGGUCUAGUGGCGCACGGGUGCGUAACGCGUGGGAACCUGCCCUUAGGUUCGGAAUAACUCCCCGAAAGGGGUGCUAAUACCGGAUAAUGUCUUCGGACCAAAGAUUUAUCGCCUUUGGAGGGUCCCGCGUUGGAUUAGCUAGUUGGUAGGGUAAAAGCCUACCAAGGCGACGAUCCAUAGCUGGUUUGAGAGAAUGAUCAGCCACACUGGGACUGAGACACGGCCCAGACUCCUACGGGAGGCAGCAGUGGGGAAUAUUGGACAAUGGGCGAAAGCCUGAUCCAGCAAUGCCGCGUGAGUGAUGAAGGCCGGAGGGUUGUAAAGCUCUUUUACCCGGGAUGAUAAUGACAGUACCGGGAGAAUAAGCUCCGGCUAACUCCGUG
rnacentral:rRNA from 1 species